rnacentral:rRNA from 1 species
AUACGGAGGGAGCGAGCGUUAAUCGGAAUUACUGGGCGUAAAGCGCGCGUAGGCGGCUUUGUAAGUCGGAUGUGAAAGCCCAGGGCUUAACCCUGGAAUUGCAUUCGAUACUGCAUGGCUAGAGUAUGGUAGAGGGAAGUGGAAUUUCCGGUGUAGCGGUGAAAUGCGUAGAUAUCGGAAGGAACACCAGUGGCGAAGGCGACUUCCUGGGCCAAUACUGACGCUGAGGUGCGAAAGCGUGGGGAGCAAACAGGAUUAGAUACCCCGGUAGUCC